UACGAAGGGUGCAAGCGUUAAUCGGAAUUACUGGGCGUAAAGCGUGCGCAGGCGGUUGUGCAAGACAGAUGUGAAAUCCCCGGGCUCAACCUGGGAAUUGCAUUUGUGACUGCACGGCUAGAGUGUGUCAGAGGGGGGUAGAAUUCCACGUGUAGCAGUGAAAUGCGUAGAGAUGUGGAGGAAUACCGAUGGCGAAGGCAGCCCCCUGGGAUAACACUGACGCUCAUGCACGAAAGCGUGGGGAGCAAACAGGA
rnacentral:rRNA from 1 species